rnacentral:rRNA from 1 species
AAUGGGGGCAACCCUGACGCAGCGACGCCGCGUGGAUGAUGAAGGCCCUUGGGUCGUAAAAUCCUGUCAGAUGGAAAGAAAUGUAUAGCAGUUAAUAUCUGUUAUAUUUGACGGUACCAUCAAAGGAAGCACCGGCUAACUCCGUGCCAGCAGCCGCGGUAAUACGGAGGGUGCAAGCGUUGUUCGGAAUUACUGGGCGUAAAGCGCGCGUAGGCGGUUUGCUAAGUCAGAUGUGAAAGCCCUCGGCUUAACCGGGGACGUGCAUUUGAAACUGGCAGACUUGAGUACUGGAGGGGGUGGUGGAAUUCCCGGUGUAGAGGUGAAAUUCGUAGAUAUCGGGAGGAAUACCGGUGGCGAAGGCGACCACCUGGCCAGAUACUGACGCUGAGGUGCGAAAGCGUGGGGAGCAAA